GACGAACGCUGGCGGCGUGCUUAACACAUGCAAGUCGAGCGGUAAGGCCCUUUCGGGGGUACACGAGCGGCGAACGGGUGAGUAACACGUGGGUGACCUGCCCUCAGCUCUGGGAUAAGCCUGGGAAACCGGGUCUAAUACUGGAUAUGACUCCAUGACGCAUGUUGUGGGGUGGAAAGCCUUGUGCGGCUGAGGAUGGGCCCGCGGCCUAUCAGCUUGUUGGUGGGGUGAGGCCUACCAAGGCGACGACGGGUAGCCGGCCUGAGAGGGCGACCGGCCAUACUGGGACUGAGACACGGCCCAGACUCCUACGGGAGGCAGCAGGUGGGGAAUCUUGCGCAAGUGGGACGAAAGCCUGACGCAGCGACGCCGCGUGAGGAUGACG
rnacentral:rRNA from 1 species